rnacentral:rRNA from 1 species
CAGUAGCCGCGGGAACACGGAGGGGGCUAGCGUUGUUCGGAAUUACUGGGCGUAAAGCGCACGUAGGCUGCUUGGUAAGUUAGAGGUGAAAGCCUGGAGCUCAACUCCAGAAUUGCCUUUAAGACUGCCGAGCUAGAACGUCGGAGAGGUGAGUGGAAUUCCGAGUGUAGAGGUGAAAUUCGUAGAUAUUCGGAAGGACACCAGUGGCGAAGGCGGCUCACUGGACGACUGUUGACGCCGAGGUGCGGAAGCGUGGGGAGCAAACAGGAUUAGAUACCCGCGUAGUCCCUGUCUCUUAUAC